UACAGAGGUCUCGAGCGUUAGGCGGAAUUACUGGGCUUAAAGCGUGUGUAGGCGGAUCGUUAAGUGCCUUGUGAAAUCCCACGGCUUAACCGUGGAACUGCUUGGCAUACUGGCGAUCUUGAGCAACCUAGGGGCGAGCGGAACAAAUGGUGGAGCGGUGAAAUGCGUAGAUAUCAUUUGGAACGCCAAUGGUGAAAACAGCUCGCUGGGGGUUUGCUGACGCUGAGACACGAAAGCCAGGGGAGCAAACGGG
rnacentral:rRNA from 1 species